UGGAACCCACCAUGGUACAGCCAUGCCUA
rnacentral:piRNA from 1 species